AUCCUGGUACUGACGUUUAGUCAUUCAGUCAUCUUCAAAUGGGAACUGAAGGCACUUUAUGUCCUUUAUUUGAGGACUGUAUAUUAAAUUGAUUUUUGAAACAGGGGGCUGGACUAGGAGCUUGCUCUGUCCACUCCAUGCAUUGACCUGGUAUUGCAGUGUCUCCAGAAACGGUGCAUUAAAA
rnacentral:snRNA from 1 species